rnacentral:tRNA from 1 species
GGCUCUGUAGCUCAGAUGGUAGAGCAACUGACUCUUAAUCAGUGGGUCCAGGGUUCGAGCCCCUGCAGGGUCACCA